GGGGAUGUAGCUCAGUCGGGAGAGCGCCUGAUUUGCAAUCAGGAGGCCAGCGGUUCGAACCCGCUCAUCUCCACCA
rnacentral:tRNA from 2 species